UUUAGGUAAGGGAUAAAAAUAAUGGUAGGUUAGGGUAAUGCGGUUAACACACAUACUUUUUAGUUGGCCUAAAUGUACAGUAGUUUUCGUUGUUUAUGUACAUGAUGUACAUUAAUUUGUACGUGUUUCUUGUUAUUCCUUUUUAGACCAUUGGUUUUCCUGUUCAAAGGGUUUUACACUAGUAAUUUUGGGGUCCUUUAUCAUUUUUAUAGCUUGUUGUUCCGUGUGAGCCAAGGCUCUGUGUUGAAGGCCGUACAUUGACCUAUAAUGGUUUACUCUUUUUUGGAUGAAUAGGCACUCAUACCACAUCUUCCUAUAUCUAUCUACUGAAUGUUUUCUAUUUCAAUGGGUUAUAUUUAAAAACAGGGAUUUGAAGCAACCAUUAAUUUUGAAUUAGG
rnacentral:lncRNA from 1 species